UAUUAUCUUCAGGGCAGGGUGAAAUUCCCUAUCGGUGGUAUAGCCCACGAGCUUUUUGCAUGAUUUGGUGAAAUUCCAAGGCCGACAGUUAUAGUCUGGAUAGAAGAAGAUAAUA
rnacentral:ncRNA from 2 species